CUGUGGGUGCGUGUAUCAAACG
rnacentral:misc_RNA from 1 species